AAAUUACCGAAAUAAUAAGCAGCCGUUGCACGAGGCAUACUCACGGCUCCCCUGUUAGCCAUUUCGCGAGUAUAAAAAGACCGUGUUUUCACCGAUCGGUACUCAGCAACUUCUUCAAGUUCAACAGAACACUAUUGAAAAAAGAAAAAAUAACCAAAAUGUCACGAGUUAUUUUACUGUUAUCAAUAAUUUUAUUCAUUGGCUGCUUCUAUGCUGUUGCAGAAGACUGUGACGGCCAUUGGUGUGCUUGGACCUCCCCUUGUGGCUGUAAAGAUUACUGGUGUAAUAGCAAUAGGUGCGAACGGUAUGGUAGUGUCCCUCAUGAUAACAGUAUGAUCUAAAAGUGAAUUUUCAGAAAUUUCCUGUCAGAAGUAUACUACAAUUUCAAAAUUGUAGAUUUUUGUUACAAAAAAUGGCGCCUUAUGAAUAUUGUAAUAUUGGUCUUAUUCAAUACUAAUAAAUAUGAUAAUAAUAAUAAAAA